AUUUACUUAAUAUAAAAGUAUAUUUAACUUCCAAUUAAAAAGCCUGAAUUAAAUCAGAGUAAAUA
rnacentral:tRNA from 1 species